rnacentral:misc_RNA from 2 species
AACGCACCUUGCGCUCCCUGGUAUUCCGGGGAGCACGCCUGUUCGAGUGUCACGAAAUUUCUCAAGCUAGGAUGGCUUUUUGUCUGUCCUUAGCCUUGGUUGUUGGGCUUUGCCGUGUCCUUCAUUGGGACGGCUGGCCUUAAAAGCAUUAGCUGAUCCUCGUGUGGCACUGGUUCUACUCAGCGUGAUAACAGUCUGAUCGCUGAGGACAUCUUUUGGGAUGGCCAGUCCUCAUUUGGGUUGCUUCUAAACUUGGUUUCGCGGAUUGUUCAAUCUGCGUUCCACUUUUCAGCUUUGACCUCGAAUCAGGUGGGACUACCCGCUGAACUUAA